GAUCCUGGCUCAGGAUGAACGCUAGCUACAGGCUUAACACAUGCAAGUCGAGGGGCAGCACGGGGUAUGGCUUGCCAUUCCCUGGUGGCGACCGGCGCACGGGUGAGUAACGCGUAUCCAACCUGCCCGCAACCGCGGAAUAGCCCGCCGAAAGGCGGAUUAAUGCCGCAUGAGCUCGCGUGGGGGCAUCUGCCCGCGAGCAAAGGUUCACUCCGGUUGCGGAUGGGGAUGCGUCCGAUUAGGCAGCAGGCGGGGCAACGGCCCACCUGGCCUACGAUCGGUAGGGGUUCUGAGAGGAAGGUCCCCCACAUUGGAACUGAGACACGGUCCAAACUCCUACGGGAGGCAGCAGUGGGGAAUAUUGCACAAUGGGCGAAAGCCUGAUGCAGCGACGCCGCGUGAGCGAAGAAGUAUUUCGGUAUGUAAAGCUCUAUCAGCAGGGAAGAUAAUGACGGUACCUGACUAAGAAGCACCGGCUAAAUACGUGCC
rnacentral:rRNA from 1 species